rnacentral:rRNA from 1 species
CCUACGGGUGGCAGCAGUCGAGAAUAUUUCACAAUGGGCGAAACCCUGAUGCUGCGACGCCGCGUGAGGGAAGAAAGUCCUUCGGAUUGUAAACUCCUUUCAUGUGGGAGCAAAUUAAAUAUAUUGUACCACAAUGGGUAGACACGGCUAACUCUGUGCGAGCAGCCGCGGUAAUACAGAGGUGGCACGCGUUUGUCGGAAUCACUGGGCGUAAAGGGUGUGUAGGCUGGUUGGUAAGUCGUGUGUGAAAGGCGCGGGCUCAACCGGGGUACGGCAGUUGAAACUGGGAGACUGGAGUAAAGGAGAGGAGAGCGGAAUUCGAGGUGUAGCAGUGAAAUGCGUAGAUAUCGGGAGGAACACCAGUGGCGAAGGCGAGUCCCUGGACCAUAACUGACGCUGAGGAGCGAAGGCGAGGGUAGCAAACAGGAUUAGAUACCCGUGUAGUC